rnacentral:rRNA from 1 species
ACGCUCGACACCUACGGGAGGUAGCAGUGGGGAAUAUUGCACAAUGGGUGAAAGCCUGAUGCAGCAACGCCGCGUGAGCGAAGAAGGCCUUGGGUCGUAAAGCUCUGUCCUCAAGGAAGAUAAUGACGGUACUUGAGGAGGAAGCCCCGGCUAACUACGUGCAAGCAGCCGCGGUAAUCUGAGCGGGCGUGGCAAGGC